CCCUAUGGGGCGCACCAGGAAGAGUUCUUGUUUACGGACUCCCCACUCUGACUUCUGUUACGCCUGAUAAGGAUUCUACAAAUGGAACUACUUCAGUGAGUUUUACACUUGCAGGAACAAAUUUCGGAACGUCUCAGGCUUCUGUUAACGGUGCGGUGAAUUUCAUUCAGGUUAAUGAGAACGAUCCCAACAAUCCAUGGGGAACUGUUUAUAAUCCGUCAUCUUUUACUUCAUGGGGUAAUACUUCUAUAGCCGGCACUAUAAAUCUUCCUGAAGGGAAAUAUCGCAUUGAAGUAUCGGUAAGAGGGGAAAAUACCACCGAGGCAAUUUUCUUCUAUAAAGGAACAGGCACUUAUCAGGUGAUUGUCGGGGAGC
rnacentral:rRNA from 1 species